AUCAGCGCUAACUUAGGGCAUUAUCUCUUCACUCUUCCGUUUCAAAACCCUCCCCUAAUCUUCUCUUCUUACAUCGCUCCUCUGAUUUAAGGAAACAAAAACGAUUUUCUUUGAAGACCCCUGAUAAUUUCCUCAUACGUUACAUGCAACAGCAUCCCUACAUAAACCCUAGCCUAGACGAGUUCAUCAUCUCGCCAUGGUUCAUUCGCAUUGAUUUGCUCAUCCAAAUUUCACUCCAGAGAAAGACAUCUUGCAGUUUUGAGAAAAUCUUUGAUGCAAUAAUAAAAUCAUCAAUGUAGUCGAGCAUUUCGUCUUCCGUAUUUUUAUUAGUAUUGUCAACAGGGUAACAGUGAUAAUGGACUUAAGAGUGUUUGAAAAAUUGCUUGCAAAAAGAGUUUUAGGGGGUAUAAAACUGAAAUGCCAGCAACAAAGAAGAAUGAGUUCGGCAAGAAGUUUGAUAUCUAAAUUAGUUGGCCGCACCGUAACUUACUAAGUAAAUUUUGGCUACAACAUCCAAGCGAAAAUUUUGGUCACUGAAAAUAAGUUCCAGAAAUCAGUAAUUUUUUAUACGUAUCAGAUGACAGAAUUUUGUUAAUAAGAGAAGAAAAUGCAGAGCUGAUUCAUACGAGUGUUUCACUUUUCUGAGAUUAAUGAGAAGAUUAUCAUUCAGUUUGGAACGACACAAGGACAUGAUAGAUCAAUAUUGGAACUGCAGAUGAGGAUGCGGAAAAUGCACGAGCAUGCCAAAUAUGGUGUCACGGCAACUUGGCAUUACAAAUAAUCCGAGAAGAAGGUGCCACAGUCAAGGGAUACAAAUCUCCGUUUUAGUCCUUACAAGUAGAAAAUGAAACUAAAGAAAAAAUGACGACCAUGGUGAUGAGCUUUGCAAGUAUAGGUCCUUGAAAAGGGAAUCCAGUUAUCAUGAUGGAAGGAAGUCACCUUCUUGCUUCAGUUAUUGUCAAGCUAGGAUUAUCACCUUCCAGUCUAGCCCUCCUGACUUUGGAGUUGGGAAAUCAGAUACAAGAUGGUACAAUGAGCAGUUCGCAAGCAAAAUAAAAGGAAGCUGACUGUGCUUUGCUUCCUGAAAAAACACCUUUCUUCAAUGAGAUGGACGGAUGAUCAGUAUCUUCACCUUGCUAUUUGUUUUUGUGCUUGGAGGAUAGCGGCUGGAAUAAACUCGAACCAACCUUUCUCUACAGUUGAAAUUUUAACAGUAAGAAUUGCACCAGUUAAAAAUUUCAGGACGAUUUGAAUUGCACCCGUGGAGUGAAUCCGAUUUGGACUAGCCAGUAUUAGAUUUAAUAAGAGAAGCGGUUAAUAUCUGUGACUACAUAUAUUGGAAUUUUGCUAAAUAACAGAAAAUUGAAGAGGCAAAUUAUAACAAAAUCCGCUCUAAUAUUUGUAAGAAGUUUUCAUCUUACAUAUUAUUUUCGUUUCAGUCUCUUUUUAUGUAUUAUUGUACUCAUGUAUUAGUUAACAAUGUGUGCCAAUAUACAAAGUGCAGGGUGAGUGUUAAAUUUAUUCGCAGGGAUUUAAUAGCCAUUAAUUUUGAUUUUUA